AGAGAGAUCUGAGCAUAUGCUUGAGAUCCUAGCUACUGAGAUAUCAAGCAUACAUGGAGAUAGAGAGAUCUGAGCAUAUGCUUGAGAUACUAGCUACUGAGAUAUCAAGCCUACAUGGAGAUAUAGAGAUCUGAACAUAUGCUUGAGAUACUAGCUACUGAGAUAUCAAGCAUACAUGGAGAUAGAGAGAUCUGAGCAUAUGCUUGAGAUACUAGCUACUGAGAUAUCAAGCAUGCAUGGAGAUAUUGAGAUCUGAACAUAUGCUUGAGAUACUAGCUUCUGAGAUAUCAGACAUGCACGGAGAUAUUGAGAUCUGAGCAUAUGCUUGAGAUCCUAGCUACUGAGAUAUCAGGCAUACAUGGAGAUAUAGAGAUUUAAAUAAAAUAUCUCAAAUUACAAGACCUGACCCGUUAACUAACAAAAAUAUCUGUGAUAAUUUGAAAUUGUUCUUAUUGUUUGAACCUAUGUUAGCGUUUCAAGGGUUUGGAUUGGUUUUCUCUGAAAAUAAUCUUAACAUCACAUUCCUCAAUCUUGUUGAUCAUUUCCUAUAUCAUUCCCUGAUUCAGUCACACAGUAUAUUCAGUAUUAACAUCACAUUCCAUUCUAUUACUUUAACAGCCUAGACUUAUCAGCUGUUAAUUUCAAUACAAAUUUUAUUUUAUAUCACAUUACUGUCAACAUAUAAAAACAGUUCUACUCUUCUAAUCAUGCUAAUUCAAAAUUGUGGUCUGUUUUUCCAAACUUAGUAAAAAUUGAAUUCACAGAUUUGGUUUAAGAAUUAUACCUGUAUUUUCUGAGCUUUAAAUCAUUUGUUUUCUGUACCUAUUCUAAUAUAUACAAAAAAUAUUUAAAAAUAUCAAUCUCUCUUCGUUCAAAAUGAAUUUAAAAUUCAUUAUUUCUGACCGUGUGCCAUAUUCAAUAUUUAUACUUGUAACUUGAAAAUUACCGAUUUGGAAAUUUAUAUAAAGGAUUUGUUUUUAUCCUUUAUCUUCAUAUUUCUUAACUAACAAAAUAUUCUUGUCAUAAACUGUACUGUACUGUACUACAUCACCAAUAAAUUGUACUGUACUUCGUAACCAAUGAUUUGUAUUGUACUGUACUAAUUCACGAAUCAAAUGUAGUAACCAAUGAAUUGUACCAUUUUGUAACGAGGCCUAAUUUUUUGGUAAUUUAGCAUAAAUUGUACUGUAGUGUUUUGUACAAGUUUUUAAGAAUUAAUAAAUUUUUUUAUUUUAA